AUGGGGGAAUGCAAGAGCUCCCGGCGCCCUCUCCUCCUCGCCGCCAUUGUUGUCGUGCUCGCCUUCUUCGUCGCGCAAUGCGGAGCGAGGGUGCUGACGGUGGACGAGCUGCUGGACCAGUACUCCGAGUCCGACCACCACUCGGCCUCUCCGCCUCCCGGCUCCCCCGGCUGCGCCCCGGAAGCAUCGCCGCCGCCCGUCAUCCCGGCGCCGUCCUUCGCCUACCUGUCGCCGCCGCCGCCCAUGCAGUUCUACUCCCCUCCGCCCCCCGAGGUCGUGCCCAGCCCGCCUGAGGUCACACCAAGCCCGCCUGAGAUCGUGCCGAGUCCGCCUGAGAUCACGCCGAGCCCGCCUGAGAUAGCGCCACUGCCGCCGGUGGUCGCGCCCAGCCCACCGGAGAUUGCGCCGCUGCCGCCGGUGGUCGCGCCCAGCCCACCGGAGAUUGCGCCGCUGCCGCCGGUGGUCGCGCCCAGCCCGCCGGAGAUCGCGCCGCUGCCGCCGGUGGUCGCGCCCAGCCCGCCCGAGAUCGCGCCACUGCCACCGGUCGUCGCGNNNNNNNNNNNNNNNNNNNNNNNNNNNNNNNNNNNNNNNNNNNNNNNNNNNNNNNNNNNNNNNNNGUUCCCGAGCCCUCCGGAGGUGACGCCGCUCCCGCCGAUAGUGUACCCGAGUCCACCGGAGGUUGCGCCCAGUCCACCGGAGGUCGCACCGCUCCCGGGGCCACCAGAGGUCACGCCUAGCCCGCCGGAGGUCGGGCCAUUCCCAGGGCCACCAGAGGUCACGCCCAGCCCACCGGACGUGACGCCAUUCCCUGGGCCACCGGAGGUCACGCCCAGCCCGCCGGAAGUCGAGCCGUUCCCGGGCCCACCGGAGGUGACUCCCAGCCCACCCGAGGUCACGCCGUUCCCGGGGCCACCGGAGGUGACUCCCAGCCCGCCGGAGGUCACGCCGUUCCCAAGCCCGCCGGAGGUGACCCCCAGCCCGCCAGACUACGCGCCGUACCCGCCUCCGGAGUCCUCACCGGGGUCCGGGUCGGGGUCGUCCCCGAGCCCGCCGGGGGGCAGCUUCCAGCCGCCGGUGGUGCUCCCGCCGACGACCGGGCCGCCGUCGCCGUCGGCGGGGCACGCGGAGUGGUGCGUGGCGAAGCCGUCGGUGCCGGCGGCGAUCGUGCAGCAGGCCAUGGACUACGCGUGCGCGUCCGGCGCCGACUGCGAGUCCCUCCAGGCGGACGGCGCCUGCUUCAAGCCGGACACCAUGACGUCCCACGCCUCCUACGCCUUCAACAGCUACUGGCAGCGCGCCAAGUCCACCGGCGCCACCUGCGACUUCGGCGGCACCGCCAUGCUCAUCACCAAGGACCCGAGCUAUGAUAACUGCCAUUACAGUGUGAUGUGA
rnacentral:rRNA from 1 species